rnacentral:rRNA from 1 species
UACGGAGGGUGCAAGCGUUGUUCGGAAUUAUUGGGCGUAAAGCGCGCGCAGGCGGCUGGAUAAGUCCAGGGGUGAAAUGCCGGAGCUCAACUCCGUGCGUGCCCCGGAUACUGUCUGGCUGGAGACACGUAGAGGCAAGCGGAAUUUCGGGUGUAGCGGUGGAAUGCGUAGAGAUCUGGAGGAAUACCGGUGGCGAAGGCGGCGUUCUGGACUGCAACUGACACUGAGAAACGAAAGCCAGGGUAGCAAACGGG